GACGAACGCUGGCGGCGUGCUUAACACAUGCAAGUCGAACGGAAAGGCCCUGCUUUUGUGGGGUGCUCGAGUGGCGAACGGGUGAGUAACACGUGAGUAACCUGCCCUUGACUUUGGGAUAACUUCAGGAAACUGGGGCUAAUACCGGAUAGGAGCUCCCGCUGCAUGGUGGGGGUUGGAAAUUUUCGGCGGUUGGGGAUGGACUCGCGGCUUAUCAGCUUGUUGGUGGGGUAGUGGCUUACCAAGGCUUUGACGGGUAGCCGGCCUGAGAGGGUGACCGGCCACAUUGGGACUGAGAGAGGGCCCAGACUCGUACGGGAGACAGCAGUGGGGAAUAUUGCACAAUGGGCCGAAGCCUGAUGCGACAACGCCGCGUGCGGGAUGACGGCCUUCGGGUUGUAAACCGCUUUCGCCUGUGACGAAGCGGGAGUGACGGUAAUGAGUAAAGAAGCACCGGCUAACUACGUG
rnacentral:rRNA from 1 species